AUUCCAGACGACAACCGUGACAACCCCUGUGUUUAUUUGGGACAUGAUGUCACCUGAGCGUGUGAAUGUGGUGACUGCCCCAGAGGAUUCAGCAGAUCCAAAGGAGAGGAGAGGGAGCAGAGUCUACCAGAUCUUCCCUUGCCCCCUGACUCCCAUGUCCACAGAGUCAGAUUCUGAGUCUUUUGCCGAGGACCCUAUUCACAACAGGGGGCGGCUGCCCUCCAUCGUGGUGCAGACUGACGAGGCAAGCGAGAUCAGGGAGCUGCUCUGCUCCCAGGGAGCAGAGGUGGAGCAGGAGGAGGACCCCUACAACAAGCAGAGCCUCCCCCAGACAGAGAGCUGCAUCAGUGGGGACAACCAAGAGGAUAUGGUGGUGCCGCAGGGAAGAAGAAAGAGUUCUAUUACAGCUCAAUCCCUCAGCGUUGCCCGUUUGACUCCUCCCCAUUCGACCCUCCACGAGACUGCCCCGCCCAAGCCUGAGGAGAUGAGCCAAUAGGAGCGGAGCACAAACAGUGACAUAUCUACAGAACUCUUUCUGACAUAAUCUUCGGAACUCUCUCUGGACACACAGCCUGUGGAUUUUUACCUCUCUGAUAUGUAACCAAAAAUGACAUGUUUCAAGAUGACUGGAAUGUGUUUUUAUCGUUUAAUGUGUUUAAUAAUUGUUUACUGUUAAAAUAAAGAUUUAAAAUGCCAUAUAUUAUCGAAACAGUAGUUCCUCCCCAUUUUGGGAAACUAGAAAGAAUGUGUACAUACAACAGAUAUACAAAGAUAUUAGCUACCCGUAGUUUUCAGACUGUAUUCAAGACACAGCUCUGUUGCUAUGUGACAAUAUGGAAACAAGCAAGUGGCUGGGGCUGCCUCUGUAAUGGCAUCCCAUUCCCUAUAUAGUGCACAACUUUUGACCAGAGCCCUAUGGGUCCCGGUCAAAAGGAAUGCACUAUACAGGGAAUAGGGUGCCAUUUGAGACACAUCCUAGGUCUGAGAGAUACUAAUAUACAGUGCAAUGGGC
rnacentral:lncRNA from 1 species